UCCCACUUCAGGAGUAGGAAUCUGUCAUUAUCUGUUCCACCAUCACGCUGGAAAUAGGAAAGCAUUUUAUACUCAUGGGUGCCUAAGGAUGCAAUCAACUUUUCAAAAGGAUUGGAAACCACCUCUGCAUUGAGGAUCAGACACACAGAGAAAUAACGUGGAAAAUCAUAUUUAAGAGCAUCUUUUGCCAGCCCACCAUAUCACAGUGACUGAUGCCCUGUAAACACCCAAGCACCAAACACAGCUGUAAGAGGUGGCUGAAGGAAAGAAGUCCAGCAAUUUGGUUGAGCAUCUCAAAAGGUUUCACCAAACAUUGCUGUCCAUAACUUGACUGUGAA